rnacentral:lncRNA from 1 species
UUUACUUAGACGAUGAAACUCCGAAGAAGCUAUUAUCAUGCUGUCCUAUUCUUCAAGUAUUGGACUUGGACCGAGCUGAAAAUGACAAUGUGAGGAGAUUCUCUAUUACGGUGCCUUCAUUACAAAAAUUUGACUAUUAUGGAAGACCUGGUUCUGUGCUUGUGAUGAAUACGCCUUCUUUGAAGUAUUUCAAGACUUUAGACUAUGCUUGUGAGUGUAUGAUUGAGUACUUGCCUGAGAUCUUGGUAGCACAUGUCGAGGUUACAUGUAGCAACACUGAUGAUAUCCUCAGAUCUCUUGCUUCAGUCAAACGCCUCUUGUUGUGUCUAUCCUCAGAGGUGAUAAUAUAUCCUUGAUAACACCAUUAGGGCAUCAUUAUGGGAUCUCUCAACUGGAAUCUCUUACGGCAUAAUUAAAUAUAAUUACAGGAGAAUUUCUCAAAAACAUGGUUUAUCAAAUAUUUAUAGAUUCUCAUUUUAUAAUAUUAAUAUAAAUAUUGUAAGAUUUCUUUUGUGAUUGAAUCAAACUUACAGUGUUUAUGCUUGCUUAUGUUUUUCGUACCGCAUCCUCAGUUUCCUUCUGGUAGUAUCUUCCACCAGCUUGAACACUUGGAGUUUUGCACAUGUGAAACAAAGUGUGAUCUGCUAAUGUCUUUGCUCCAACAUUCCCCAAAACUUCGUUCUCUCAAGCUAAACGAGGUAAGUAAAACCUUUUAAAAACUAUGAAGAGCGUUGAGGGUUCUCUUGUCUAAACUUUGAAUGGUCUAAUAACUACGCAAAUGCAAUCAGACCCAUGGUAAUGUGUGUGGAUAUCGUACACUUCAUUGGGAGGAACCAAGCACUGUCCCUGAAACGCUGAUGUUGGUUCUUGAGACUUUUGAGUGGAGAAACUACAG